AAUAAAGCUGUGAUGAGAAGUAGUAAUUAAAAAUAGCCUUUAGAGAGAAGAUGGUUGGUGAAAAUCUUUGGCGAAAGUUAAUGAAUCCGUCUUUGAGCUUAUAAAUUUAAAGUGAAUGAAUUUAUUUCAUUAAAUUGGGUGGUACCGCGAUAAUCUCGUCCCUUUU
rnacentral:ncRNA from 1 species